UACGUAGGUGGCAAGCGUUGUCCGGAAUUAUUGGGCGUAAAGCGCGCGCAGGCGGUCCUUUAAGUCUGAUGUGAAAGCCCACGGCUCAACCGUGGAGGGUCAUUGGAAACUGGGGGACUUGAGUGCAGGAGAGAAGAGUGGAAUUCCACGGUGUAGCGGUGAAAUGCGUAGAGAUGUGGAGGAACACCAGUGGCGAAGGCGAC
rnacentral:rRNA from 1 species